AGUGAACGCUGGCGGCAGGCCUAAUACAUGCAAGUCGAACGGCAGCACAGCAGAGCUUGCUCUGUGGGUGGCGAGUGGCGGACGGGUGAGGAAUACGUGGGAAUCUGCCCAGUCGUGGGGGAUAACGUAGGGAAACUUACGCUAAUACCGCAUGCGCCCUUCGGGGGAAAGCCGGGGACCUUCGGGCCUGGCGCGAUUGGAUGAGCCCACGUCGGAUUAGCUAGUUGGCGGGGUAAAGGCCCACCAAGGCGACGAUCCGUAGCUGGUCUGAGAGGAUGAUCAGCCACACUGGAACUGAGACACGGUCCAGACUCCUACGGGAGGCAGCAGUAGGGAAUAUUGGACAAUGGGCGCAAGCCUGAUCCAGCCAUGCCGCGUGAGUGAAGAAGGCCCUCGGGUUGUAAAGCUCUUUUGUCCGGAAAGAAAAGCGCCGGGUUAAUACCCUGGUGUCCUGACGGUACCGGAAGAAUAAGCACCGGCUAACUUCGUGCCAGCAGCCGCGGUAAAGUA
rnacentral:rRNA from 1 species